UCAACACGAGAGUCUGUGAGGACUGACUCACUGCUGGAGUCGCCCUCGGGUGGCCAUGAAAGGAACUGCGGUCUUUGGUGCGUCCAUAUUGGCAGCUUAAUGUUACUGUAAGGAGGACGUGAUUUACAAACUGAAACUACAACCUGAGCUCAGUGUUUGCCGUUGGGUCUUAUUGUCAAAGAUUGCAAACCUUUCAGAUAUGGAAGCUAUGUCCAUCUUUAAUAUACAGUCUGUGGCUUUGACGGUGGUCCUUAGAGAAGUUGUUGUAAAGUUCUUGUGGCGGGGCUGAUGAUUUUAGAAAGAACUCUAAACUUCCUCUAUUAAAGAUUUGGGGUUAAUAUUCUCAGAGAUUGCAGUAAAAAUAUCACAAAAAAUACAAAUGUAGCAUCUUUUAAAGAGUUGAAGUUGAUUCCUCAUGUAUGAAACAGUGCACUUAUGAUCACAGUUACAGGCCUGUGUGGAAGUAAAAUUAAAGCUACGCGCUCUUCGUUUGUAAUAUUUCCUGAUAUGAGGUGGAGCUGCAUGCAGCAUGUUGGCUGCAGAUCAAUCUGAUCCAGCUCAUUGACUUUGCGCUGUAGUCCCUGCGCACGCCUGCUUUCCAUGAACGAAUCAGCUGCCUCGCAGCUUUGUUGGCAGCCUUAAAAAAAACAAAACAAAAGCUGCUUCAUUGCCAAACACAGAAGUUUGAUUCUAAAACGUCUCAAUCUAAAAAGGCUGUUUGUAUCCCGUGAGGAGCCAUAUGGUGGAGUUUUUCAUUCCAAAACGAAGCGACCGGCAGCAUCAAAGUUAACCUCCCCGCUGAACGCAUUAAUAUUAAUAUCCAUCUUCAGCCCCAGCGAUACAAAGCACUGACAUUUUGGAGGAUUUAAUCAUCCUUGCAUUUUCAACAGUUAUCACAGCGCCGUGAUUUAUUUCCAAAACAGGGUACAGGAGGCGCGCUGGGAACAGGAGGAUUCGUAUGUGGCGCAGCUGCAGCUGUGAUCUGUAAUAGCAGAUGGUUAUCAGUGUUUUCUUCUGAUCUGAGCUCAGCGUGGGAAGAAAAUCCCUCCAGUUGGAGGAAGAUACCUGCUGCCUCUGUUUGGUGCGAGCAGCUGUUGGAGGCUGAAGGUCGGCGCUUCUUUUCACUCAGAGCUGAUCGGCGUGUUCGGCUCGCCGCGUCAGCGAAGGAGAAAUGAGUUUCUGGAGCGCUGGUUGUGUUUCUGAAUGAGAGAUGCUGGCUAAGCUGAAAGUCUGUGUUUGGCAUCACCAACACGAGCCUCACAAAUCUGAGAAACUUUGUUAGUAAAUGUGUGUUUUUCAGCAUCGGGUCGAAGGCCAAGCAGUUUAUUUGUGAAUGUUUGAUCCUGGAUACGUGACAAGUGCAGGUUUGGUGCGACGGUCCUGAUCACAUCGCAGCGUCACAUCUGUACAGUUGAGCCCG
ensembl:lncRNA